rnacentral:rRNA from 2 species
UGCAGUCGACGAACUCUGGUAUUGAUUGGUGCUUGCAUCAUGAUUUACAUUUGAGUGAGUGGCGAACUGGUGAGUAACACGUGGGAAACCUGCCCAGAAGCGGGGGAUAACACCUGGAAACAGAUGCUAAUACCGCAUAACAACUUGGACCGCAUGGUCCGAGUUUGAAAGAUGGCUUCGGCUAUCACUUUUGGAUGGUCCCGCGGCGUAUUAGCUAGAUGGUGGGGUAACGGCUCACCAUGGCAAUGAUACGUAGCCGACCUGAGAGGGUAAUCGGCCACAUUGGGACUGAGACACGGCCCAAACUCCUACGGGAGGCAGCAGUAGGGAAUCUUCCACAAUGGACGAAAGUCUGAUGGAGCAACGCCGCGUGAGUGAAGAAGGGUUUCGGCUCGUAAAACUCUGUUGUUAAAGAAGAACAUAUCUGAGAGUAACUGUUCAGGUAUUGACGGUAUUUAACCAGAAAGCCACGGCUAACUACGUGCCAGCAGCCGCGGUAAUACGUAGGUGGCAAGCGUUGUCCGGAUUUAUUGGGCGUAAAGCGAGCGCAGGCGGUUUUUUAAGUCUGAUGUGAAAGCCUUCGGCUCAACCGAAGAAGUGCAUCGGAAACUGGGAAACUUGAGUGCAGAAGAGGACAGUGGAACUCCAUGUGUAGCGGUGAAAUGCGUAGAUAUAUGGAAGAACACCAGUGGCGAAGGCGGCUGUCUGGUCUGUAACUGACGCUGAGGCUCGAAAGUAUGGGUAGCA